ACCUGGGUGGCUCAGUCGGUUGAGCGUCCGACUUCGGCUCAGGUCAUGAUCUCAUGGUUCAUGGGUUCAAGCCCCAUGUCGGGCU
rnacentral:tRNA from 1 species